rnacentral:rRNA from 1 species
GGUGCUAUACAUGCAAGUCGAGCGAACAGAUAAGGAGCUUGCUCCUUUGACGUUAGCGGCGGACGGGUGAGUAACACGUGGGUAACCUACCUAUAAGACUGGAAUAACUCCGGGAAACCGGGGCUAAUGCCGGAUAACAUAUAGAACCGCAUGGUUCUAUAGUGAAAGAUGGUUUUGCUAUCACUUAUAGAUGGACCCGCGCCGUAUUAGCUAGUUGGUAAGGUAAUGGCUUACCAAGGCGACGAUACGUAGCCGACCUGAGAGGGUGAUCGGCCACACUGGAACUGAGACACGGUCCAGACUCCUACGGGAGGCAGCAGUAGGGAAUCUUCCGCAAUGGGCGAAAGCCUGACGGAGCAACGCCGCGUGAGUGAUGAAGGGUUUCGGCUCGUAAAACUCUGUUAUUAGGGAAGAACAUAUGUGUAAGUAACUGUGCACAUCUUGACGGUACCUAAUCAGAAAGCCACGGCUAACUACGUGCCAGCAGCCGCGGUAAUACGUAGGUGGCAAGCGUUAUCCGGAAUUAUUGGGCGUAAAGCGCGCGUAGGCGGUUUCUUAAGUCUGAUGUGAAAGCCCACGGCUCAACCGUGGAGGGUCAUUGGAAACUGGGAAACUUGAGUGCAGAAGAGGAAAGUGGAAUUCCAUGUGUAGCGGUGAAAUGCGCAGAGAUAUGGAGGAACACCAGUGGCGAAGGCGACUUUCUGGUCUGUAACUGACGCUGAUGUGCGAAAGCGUGGGGAUCAAACAGGAUUAGAUACCCUGGUAGUCCACGCCGUAAACGAUGAGUGCUAAGUGUUAGGGGGUUUCCGCCCCUUAGUGCUGCAGCUAACGCAUUAAGCAC